rnacentral:rRNA from 5 species
UCUAUCUACAAUGUUCAAUCCCAACUUUUCUGAGUCCUAGUACGCAAGGAAUGGUCUCAGCGAUGCUCGACUAUAUUGGCCCCAUCGACGUAAUCAACUUCUGGCUGCUGCAAAGAAGGAGACAAAAGGUUUAGGGAUUAAUAAGGU